UUACGAUCACAUCACGUUGAAACACCAGUUCCUGUAUCCUGAUCACCGAAGUUAAGCAAUGUUGAACCUGGUCAGUAGCUAGAUGGAUGACUGCUUCAGAAUACUAGGUGUUGUAAG